GAUGAGCCAAGAUUGGUAGCCUUUAAGCUACUAUUGAUUUUAAACUGAAGAGUUUGAUCAUGGCUCAGAUUGAACGCUGGCGGCAGGCUUAACACAUGCAAGUCGAGCGGAUGAAG
rnacentral:rRNA from 1 species